GUGGGGAAUAUUGGACAAUGGGCGAAAGCCUGAUCCAGCCAUGCCGCGUGUGUGAAGAAGGUCUUCGGAUUGUAAAGCACUUUAAGUUGGGAGGAAGGGCAGUAAGUUAAUACCUUGCUGUUUUGACGUUACCGACAGAAUAAGCACCGGCUAACUUCGUGCCAGCAGCCGCGGUAAUACGAAGGGUGCAAGCGUUAAUCGGAAUUACUGGGCGUAAAGCGCGCGUAGGUGGUUUUGUAAGUUGGAGGUGAAAUCCCCGGGCUCAACCUGGGAACUGCCUCCAAAACUGCAUGACUAGAGUACGGUAGAGUGUAGUGGAAUUUCCUGUGUAGCGGUUAAAUGCGUAGAUAUAGGAAGGAACACCAGUGGCGAAGGCGACUACCUGGACUGAUACUGACACUGAGGUGCGAAAGCGUGGGGAGCAAACAGGAUUAGAUACCCUAGUAGUCC
rnacentral:rRNA from 1 species